AGAGUUUGAUCCUGGCUCAGGAUGAACGCUGGCGGCAUGCCUAAUACAUGCAAGUCGAACGAGAGGAAGGAAAGCUUGCUUUUCUGAAUCUAGUGGCGAACGGGUGAGUAACACGUAGGUAACCUGCCCAUGUGCCCGGGAUAACUUCUGGAAACGGAUGCUAAAACCGGAUAGGUAGCAGACAAGCAUUUGACUGCUAUUAAAGUGGCCUUGGCCAUGAACAUGGAUGGACCUGCGGUGCAUUAGCUGGUUGGUGAGGUAACGGCCCACCAAGGCGACGAUGCAUAGCCGGCCUGAGAGGGCGGACGGCCACAUUGGGACUGAGACACGGCCCAAACUCCUACGGGAGGCAGCAGUAGGGAAUUUUCGUCAAUGGGGGGAACCCUGAACGAGCAAUGCCGCGUGAGUGAGGAAGGUCUUCGGAUCGUAAAGCUCUGUUGUAAGAGAAAAACGGCACUCAUAGGGAAUGAUGAGUGAGUGAUGGUAUCUUACCAGAAAGUCACGGCUAACUACGUGCCAGCAGCCGCGGUAAUACGUAGGUGGCGAGCGUUAUCCGGAAUGAUUGGGCGUAAAGGGUGCGUAGGUGGCAGAUCAAGUCUGGAGUAAAAGGUAUGGGCUCAACCCGUACUGGCUCUGGAAACUGAUCAGCUAGAGAACAGAAGAGGACGGCGGAACUCCAUGUGUAGCGGUAAAAUGCGUAGAUAUAUGGAAGAACACCGGUGGCGAAGGCGGCCGUCUGGUCUGGAUUCUGACACUGAAGCACGAAAGCGUGGGGAGCAAAUAGGAUUAGAUACCCUAGUAGUCCACGCCGUAAACGAUGAGUACUAAGUGUUGGGGGUCAAACCUCAGUGCUGCAGUUAACGCAAUAAGUACUCCGCCUGAGUAGUACGUUCGCAAGAAUGAAACUCAAAGGAAUUGACGGGGGCCCGCACAAGCGGUGGAGCAUGUGGUUUAAUUCGAAGCAACGCGAAGAACCUUA
rnacentral:rRNA from 1 species